GCUCGUUUAGCUCAGUGGUA
rnacentral:snRNA from 1 species